rnacentral:tmRNA from 1 species
CCCCUUGCCCCGGCGCCGCCCCGGCCCUAUCUUCACAUCUGUCUUUCGGGACUAUGGACAUAAACGCGCACGCAAUAAGCGGAUCGGACCCGGGGGCGGUACCCGGCGGCUCCACCAAAUGCCCUUUGUUGGGGGGAUAAUGGGGCCGAAACAGGAUCGACGAACGUCUAAAGGUGUAGCUUUGUCCCGGUGAGGUACCACCGUUAUCGGUCCGUACAGUACAAUUGCCAACAACAAUCGUGCUCCGAUCGCCCUGGCUGCGUAAGCAGUCCGGAAGAUCGAAAUCUAAGCCCUUGCGCCUAGCAGUGUAAGGCGGGGUUCGCAGGCACCUGGCAACAGAAGCCUGCACU